AUGAACCGUUUUAGACAAGAAAACAUGUUGGUGUGAUUUCAUUGGUUAGUACACGAAAAUCAUGGAAACAAAUUCUGUUGGAUAGUACAAUUCGGGCAGAUGUAUCAGAAUCCAGCAGGCAAACGAGUCGAGACCACUGGUUUCGACUCGAGACCAUGAAGCUACAACUCGAGACCGCAACGGUUGCGACUCGAGACCUAGACCAAGCAACUCAAAACAGACUUCAGGGACUCGAGACCAUCAAGGUCUCGACUCGAGACCACAUCGUGACAACUCGAGACGGGACUCGAAACCUCUGAGGUUGCGAGUCAUGCCUGCACCACUCGAGACCAGCCAUUACAACUCAAGACCUCCUGGUUGCGACUCGAGACCGCAUGUUCUCGAGUCGAGACCACCUUGUCUCGACUGGGCUGCUCACUUUAGUUAUUGGGCCACAACGUGAUUUGUUUGGGCUGCCUGUUUAACUGAACUAUGUGUUAGUUGUUACUGUUGACUGAUCCAAUAGUAGAGCAGGCCCAAUAACUCAACAUGUAACUGUAUGCAUGCUAUGUGUUAUAUUAUGUGUAAAAUAUACGUGAGAUUCUCUGUACCCAAACCUGACCUAUACUGGUAACCAUGUUAGGACGUGGUGACCAGCGUGCUUGACAAGUAACCUAAUCUGCCGAGCAACCCAAGGUGAGUUCACACACUAAAAGCGUGCGUCCCAGGGAGGGACACGGACAAACUGCCAACUUUGGGAAAAAUAGUUUUGAACUAACAUUUCCGGGGGAAAUCCGAAUGGGUACUUACUAUCUCCAGGGGAGAUACGUUUGGAUAUUAUUUAUAAAUCACAACUAGCUAAGCUAAACGAAACUCUAUCACCUUAAGUCCCUGCUUACAGUACCGAUUAAUCGCCGGGGGCGAACGGGUUAUUAGUUGAUAGCGCUAUUAGGUUUGACAACCUCACACCGUGACCGGGGGGAUCGGGCAUGAACUAGUAGACCUCGCAUCUUGGUCAAUGACGAUAGACAUUGACUCGGGGCGCAACAACUUUACGACCCUAAACAAGCACAAAACUAAAAGCGACGAGCUAAACAUGCUAGAACAUGUUUAGUAAAGUUAGAAAACAAGUUUGGUAUUAAAACAAACGGUUUUAAUACCCUAGAGUAGUUUGGUUACAAAAUACGCGAGAAAACGCAUUUUGGCCGAAACUACGACUCGUCACUGAGCCUAGAUAACGUGGUAAUCAGUAGGUAUAGUCACUAGGGACUAUAACCAUCCUGAUUACGCUCACGUUAUGAAGUUCAAACGAACUUCGCGUUGACCAUAAACUGGUCAAUGCAGAAAGUCAAACAUAGUUUGACUUA
rnacentral:lncRNA from 1 species